AUUGAACGCUGGCGGAAUGCUUUACACAUGCAAGUCGAACGGCAGCACGGGGGCAACCCUGGUGGCGAGUGGCGAACGGGUGAGUAAUACAUCGGAACGUGCCCAGUCGUGGGGGAUAACGUAGCGAAAGUUACGCUAAUACCGCAUACGAUCUACGGAUGAAAGCGGGGGACCGUAAGGCCUCGCGCGAUUGGAGCGGCCGAUGUCAGAUUAGGUAGUUGGUGAGGUAAAGGCUCACCAAGCCGACGAUCUGUAGCUGGUCUGAGAGGACGACCAGCAACACUGGGACUGAGACACGGCCCGGACUCCUACGGGAGGCAGCAGUGGGGAAUUUUGGACAAUGGGCGCAAGCCUGAUCCGGCCAUUCCGCGUGCAGGACGAAGGCCUUCGGGUUGUAAACUGCUUUUGUACGGAACGAAAAGGCUCUGGUUAAUACCUGGGGCUCAUGACGGUACCGUAAGAAUAAGCACCGGCUAACUACGUGCCAGCCGCCGCCGUAA
rnacentral:rRNA from 1 species